UAUCCCUGCCCUUGCAACUGAACAAGAAAGUGAGUUGUGUUGAGAAACAACUGUUCCCAAGGGAGUAACAGUUGCUGAUCUGCAUGAGGAAAAUCUGAGCCCCCACGGAAACUCUGUCUUUAUCUCUGGAUGCUGGCCUAACAUAACUCUGAUCCUGAGGGAAUGAUGCUCCUGAUGGUUUCAUCCACCAAAUUAGAUGGAUAAUUAAACAUCUCUGCUGAUCUUGAAAGCCCACAGAAUAAAAAAAUCCCAGAUUACAACGACACAGAAGUACAUCACUGAGAAGUGCAGGUUGAUGGCUAAAUUCUGUUCAGGUUUACCUGCUCCCAUGAGCUGGGCUGUGUCCUGCACCCUCCCUUGAAGAGUGAUUCACAAGAGUCCUCCGCUGACAUGAGUCCUCCCAACACAUCUUUGGAAAGGGAGGUAAGGUGUCAAGUCAAGACCUGAACCCUGGGCUGAAUCUGGACUGAAAGCUUCCACCAGGGAUCUGAAGAAACCCCAGCCUUGGGCAGCUGGAGGUAGGGGCUGUUGGGGAGAUGAGUUAUGCUUGGCCAAUUCAAGGAUCCCAAAAUCCCACUGGCAAGCUCUGCUGAGCAUCCCUGGGGUGACCUGAAUGUAUCACCCUGUUCCCAGCAAAACUCUGGAGACUCUCAGACUGGACAAAGUCACUAAAGCAGGAAUGUGCCACAGCAGGACCCUGUGUCCCCAUGAACCCACACCUGCAAACCCAGGGAUGGGUCAGCCCAGGCUCCCCACUAGUAUCUGGGAAACCUGAGCUCAGUCCAGCACCAGCCCAGAAGCUUGUCCAUCCUGAGCCUGCUCAGCAGUGGGACAUUUUCCUUCACAUAAGAAAACAUCUGCAGAAAACAGAGAAAUGAGAGCUUAUCUCCGAGAUAUGUUAUCUCCCUGUGCUGCUUUCAGCUCUGUGUUAUCACAGAGCUGCUGGGGGACUCUGACCUUUGUGGGAAAUGUUAAAUCAUUGUGGCUUCAUUUGGUUUAAUAUUCCUUAUUGAUUAAUUUCCAUCUCCCUGAAUGCAAGAGGAUUUGAGUGAGAGCCAGAGCUCAGCAGUACCCAGAGCUGUGGGUGGUGUUGAGAUUUCAAGACAGAGAGAAAAACCCGACAAACUAAAAUGCAGUGAAUGACUUUCAAAAACUAAAGACAAGGAAACUAAUAAUUUUCAGAAAGGAUGUUUUUCCUCACCUGGAGUAAAAUCCCACUGUAGUUUCCAUAAAGCUUUAACUCCCAGUGGCAGACAAAUAUCGAUGGUUUAUUUCAGCUCCAAACCAUGGAAUUCAUUUGUGGCAGCCACAGGGUUGUAAUGCAGGCCUGAUUUUUUUCAUUUGUUUUGCUGUAUUUGCUGUGCCCACCCAAGAGGAGGCUUGUGAGUGCACCAGCUGUGUUUCCUCACCAACAGUCCAGGGUGUCAAUGACACAAUGCUGUGCCCCUCACCACCCUCUCAUGAACAGGACUUUCAAUUCCAGCCUCCAGCAAGUAAGAGGAAGAGGUGCCUAUUCAGCUGCUGCCAGGGAAAAGGCUGAGAAAAGCAGGGUGCAGAGCUUGGGAGAAGUAUUUUGUCACUGAGUGGGGGUCAGUGAGGCUCUCAGGAGGAUGUCCUGUUUCUCCAGACCCGGAGCAUCCAUCCUCACAGAAAUCCACCCCAGUGCCAGACAUGCUGAAUGAAGCAGAGCCACUGAGCAAGGAGGGGACCCAUCCUUACAGUCUGGAAUUGCCUUGAGGCUCAUUUUGAGGAAUGGUAAGCAGUAAUCUCCUUCCUAAUAGAAUAGCCAGGAAUAGUGAUGUCUGGGCA